AGAUACAGUAAAGCUACACCAGCACAUCACUGCAGAUUGACCUGGACUGUUUCUUUGUGUUUUAAGAGUUUGGAUUCCUCCUCAAGCAGCCAGCAACAGACCUUUCACAGUACUACCGGGUAUGGAUGGACUUGGCCAGCAACCUCACACCCCUCAUCCAAACACAUCAGCUACGACACCUGGUAAAAGAGAUGCCCGUGCUGAGUCCCCAUCACCUGAAGGGCCAUCGGAAGCUGAGGCUGGCUCACCUUGGUCUAUGUCUGGCAGGAGGGGCAAU